AGAGUUUGAUCCUGGCUCAGGACGAACGCUGGCGGCGUGCUUAACACAUGCAAGUCGAACGGAGCACCCCUGAAGGAGUUUUCGGACAACGGAAGGGAAUGCUUAGUGGCGGACUGGUGAGUAACGCGUGAGGAACCUGCCUUUCAGAGGGGGACAACAGUUGGAAACGACUGCUAAUACCGCAUGAUGUAUCGGAAUCGCAUGGUACUGAUACCAAAGAUUUAUCGCUGAAAGAUGGCCUCGCGUCUGAUUAGCUAGUUGGUGAGGUAACGGCCCACCAAGGCGACGAUCAGUAGCCGGACUGAGAGGUUGACCGGCCACAUUGGGACUGAGAUACGGCCCAGACUCCUACGGGAGGCAGCAGUGGGGAAUAUUGGGCAAUGGACGCAAGUCUGACCCAGCAACGCCGCGUGAAGGAAGAAGGCUUUCGGGUUGUAAACUUCUUUUAAGGGGGAAGAGCAGAAGACGGUACCCCUUGAAUAAGCCACGGCUAACUACGUG
rnacentral:rRNA from 1 species